rnacentral:rRNA from 1 species
GGUAACAUUGUAUCGCAUGAUAUUUUGUUUAAAGAUUUAUCGGACAGGGAUGGCCAUGCGUACCAUUAGCUAGUUGGUAAGGUAACGGCUUACCAAAGCUACGAUGGUUAGGGGCCCUGAGAGGGGGAUCCCCCACACUGGUACUGAGACACGGACCAGACUCCUACGGGAGGCAGCAGUGAGGAAUAUUGGACAAUGGGCGGGAGCCUGAUCCAGCCAUGCCGCGUGCAGGAUGACUGCCCUAUGGGUUGUAAACUGCUUUUAUACGGGAAGAAACCUACUUACGUGUAAGUAGCUGACGGUACCGUAAGAAUAAGGACCGGCUAACUCCGUGCCAGCAGCCGCGGUAAUACGGAGGGUCCGAGCGUUAUCCGGAAUCAUUGGGUUUAAAGGGUCCGUAGGCGGGCCUAUAAGUCAGGGGUGAAAGGCCACGGCUC